AGCACCUCCGUGCUGAACUCAAGGUGCCCGUCGAGGGGAAGUGGGGACUGGAGAUUUACCCCUUCCAUCCUCCUGGCUGGACACCCGCAUGCAGUGAGCCACCUGCAGACUGGAACACUUCAGCCCUGCACUCAAGAGUCAGGUGCGCAGUGACCGAAAGCAGAAACAACCCCGUGCCCAUCAACAGAUGAAGGACACCAAGAUUCAGUCCAUCCGCACGAGGAAGUGCUAUUCAACCCUAAAGAAGAAUGAAGGGCCGGCUCAGGCUGCCUCGUGGACGAACCUUGAAAACACGAUGCUGAGCAAAGGAAGCCAGACACCAUAUUGGUCAAUUCCAUUUAUAUGAAAUUCCAGAACAGGCCAAAGCAGAUGAGGCAGUUGAGGCCCAGAGCACACUCGCCUUAGAGCACACAUCAGCGUCUGCACUGGCGCGUGCCCGACUC
ensembl:lncRNA